rnacentral:rRNA from 1 species
GACGAACGCUGGCGGCGUGCCUAAUACAUGCAAGUAGAACGCAGUUGCGAACGGGUGAGUAACGCGUAGGUGACUGCCUCGUAGCGGGGGAUAACCAAUGGGAACGAUAGCUAAUUCCGCAUACUGUGAGAUGGACCUGCGUUGUAUUAGCUAGGUGGUGAGGUAAAGGCUCACCAAGGCGACGAUACAUAGCCGACCGGAGAGGGUGAUCUGCCACACUGGAACUGAGACACGGCCCAGACUCCUACGGGAGGCAGCAGUAGGGAAUCUUGGGCAAUGGACGUAAGCCUGAUCGAGCAACGCCGCGUGAGUGAAGAAGGCCUUCGGAUUGUAAAGCACUUUAAGUGGGGAGGCGUUACCCACAGAAUAAGCACCGGCUAACUUCGUGCCAGCAGCCGCGGUAAUAC